rnacentral:rRNA from 1 species
UACAGAGGUCUCAAGCGUUGUUCGGAUUCAUUGGGCGUAAAGGGUGCGUAGGUGGCGCGGUAAGUCGGGUGUGAAAUCUCGGAGCUUAACUCCGAGAUUGCAUUCGAUACUGCCGUGCUUGAGGACUGGAGAGGAGACUGGAAUUCAUGGUGUAGCAGUGAAAUGCGUAGAGAUCAUGAGGAAGACCAGUGGCGAAGGCGGGUCUCUGGACAGUUCCUGACACUGAGCACGAAGGCCAGGGGAGCAAACGGG